rnacentral:ncRNA from 1 species
UUAUUUGAGAGUUUGAUCCUGGCUCAGGAUGAACGCUGGCGGCGUGUCUAAGGCAUGCAAGUCGAAUGGGUUUAGACCCAUGGCAAACGGGUGAGUAACACAUUGGUAACUUACCUCGAAGUUCGGCAUAACCCUCCGAAAGGAGGGAUAAUACCGGAUGUGGUCGCUAGACAAAUGUCUGGCGAGUAAAGAUUCACCCUGUUUCUUUUCUAUUGAUUAAUUAUUUUAAGUUGAUGAUACGAGCCGUUGAGGCGGCUUCGCCUUCAUUGAUUGUUAAUAAUUAAUGCUUUGAUGGAAAAGAUACAGGGUAAAUCGCUUCGAGAGAGACCUAUGGCUUAUCAGCUAGUUGGUAAGGUAACGGCCUACCAAGGCAAUGACGAGUAGCGGGUGUGAGAGCACGACCCGCCUCACUGGGACUGAGAUACUGCCCAGACUCCUACGGGAGGCUGCAGUUAAGAAUAUUCCACAAUGGACGAAAGUCUGAUGGAGCGACGUCGCGUGACUGAUGAAGCCCUUCGGGGUGUAAAGGUCUUUUAUUAGGGAAGAACUUUUGACGGUACCUAAUGAAUAAGGGGUUGCUAACUCUGUGCCAGCAGCAGCGGUAAUACAGAGA